rnacentral:misc_RNA from 1 species
UCCCCGUUACCGGGGCAGUCUGAUUAGAAAAAUCCAACUAAUCAUAAGGGUUGCGCUCGUUGAAGGACUUAACCUAACAUCUCACGACACGAGCUGACGACGGCCAUGCAACACCUGUCACUGAGUUCCGGGUUACAAAACACAAAAAAUAUUUUAUGUACUGUAACCCGGCACUCACUCCUUUCGGAGUAAUUCUCAGGAUGUCAAGUCUGGGUAAGGUUCUUGGCUUAGCAUCCAAUUAAACAACACGCUCCACCGCUUGUGCGGGUCCCCGUCUAUUCCUUUGAGUUUUAAUCUUGCGACCGUACUCCCCAGGCGGGAUGCUUAACGCGUUAGCUUCGCUACUGAACGGGUCGAGCGUCCAACAGCUAGCAUCCAUCGUUUACGGCGUGGACUAC